AACGAACGCUGGCGGCAUGCCUAACACAUGCAAGUCGAACGAGACCUUCGGGUCUAGUGGCGCACGGGUGCGUAACGCGUGGGAACCUGCCCUUAGGUUCGGAAUAACUCCCCGAAAGGGGUGCUAAUACCGGAUAAUGUCUUCGGACCAAAGAUUUAUCGCCUUUGGAUGGGCCCGCGUUGGAUUAGCUCGUUGGUAGGGUAAAAGCCUACCAAGGCGACGAUCCAUAGCUGGUCUGAGAGGAUGAUCAGCCACACUGGGACUGAGGCACGGCCCAGACUCGUACGGGAGGCAGGAGUGGGGAAUAUUGGACAAGGGGCGAAAGCCUGAUACAGCAAUGCCGGGUGAGUGAUGAAGGCGUUAGGGUUGUAAAGCUCUUUUACCCGGGAUGAUAAUGACAGUACCGGGAGAAUAAGCUCCGGCUAACUACGUG
rnacentral:rRNA from 1 species